GACGAACGCUGGCGGCGUGCUUAACACAUGCAAGUCGAACGGAAAGGCCCUGCUUUUGUUGGGUGCUCGAGUGGCGAACGGGUGAGUAACACGUGAGUAACCUGCCCUUGACUUUGGGAUAACUUCAGGAAACUGGGGCUAAUACCGGAUAGGAGCUCCUGCUGCAUGGUGGUGGUUGGAAAGUUUCGGCGGUUGGGGAUGGACUCGCGGCUUAUCAGCUUGUUGGUGGGGUAGUGGCUUACCAAGGCUUUGACGGGUAGCCGGCCUGAGAGGGUGACCGGCGACAUUGGGACUGAGGUACGGCCCAGACUCCUACGGGAGGCAGCAGUGGGGAAUAUUGCACAAUGGGCGGAAGCCUGAUGCAGCAACGCCGCGUGCGGGAUGACGGCCUUCGGGUUGUAAACCGCUUUCGCCUGUGACGAAGCGUGAGUGACGGUAAUGGGUAAAGAAGCACCGGCUAACUACGUG
rnacentral:rRNA from 1 species